CCUGUUCCAUAUCAAAUCCUCAUUGUUUCGACCUGAUUUCUUGUGCCUUGCGCACGCCCGCCUCCCUAUAAAUAAUGCUCUUCCUCUCCUCUGCUGAUUUCCGCAAAAACCGGCAGCUCCCGUACCCUAGAGCACCCGAUCGAUCUCGCCGGAGUUCUCGCCCGAAGCUUCUAUCGCCGGCCGAUUUGGUCACCACUGAAGACUCGUGCCGGACCAAGCUUCCCAAGCUCUCCUGAAGUUCGCUCUCGUCGCCACCGUCGUCCUAGACCGACGCGGCCUCCAUCAUCGGACGCACCACCCCGCGUCGAGCCUCCCCAAGAAUUCGCUCGACGUCGACGAGCCCUGGAGCUGCCGCCUCUUCGCGUCCGACGCCGCUCCGCCGCUGUCUUCUUCCCUGCCGGCGAGGCCACCGCUGUAAGACGCCGUCGCCAUCUCCCGUCCAUUAGUUCUCAUAGCAACAGUCCUGAUUAGAUCUAGGUUCUUUUUUUCUUUGAAUCAUUAUCUUUUAUGUUGCGGGCGUUCGUUUGUUUAGCCCCGCAGCAAACACCCCUUGGCCGUCAGAUCAAGAUCUAAUCGCCUAUGUUAGAUCUGAUUUUUUUUAUUUUUUUUACUCACUGAAUCAGUUUCGUUAAGU